rnacentral:misc_RNA from 1 species
CGUAACGAUCAAGGUCACUAUAUUAACAAUCAUUAAAAAUAAACAACUAAAAAUGCAUUAUCAAUAGUUGCAUGUUGAGAUUAAUACGCUAUAUUAAAAUUAGAAACCGAAACAGCCAACCACUUUAUUGGUCAAACCGGUGUGAUUCAUCGUAUUUGGCUUUUCAAUGCCGGCGUGCUUGGUUAUCUCACUCUAACUUAGGGUUAGCGCUUUAGAAAAACAGCAUUCGAAUAACAAAAAAGCUCACUACUAGUAGUGAGCUUUUUUGUGUUUGUA